GGUUCUAGGGUGUAUUUCACAUAUUUAAUUGCAAAUUAAAAGUUACUAAAAGAAUUUAGUUAGAACUU
rnacentral:tRNA from 1 species